AUUGAACGCUGGCGGCAGGCCUAACACAUGCAAGUCGAACGGUAGCAUUUCUAGCUUGCUAGAAGAUGACGAGUGGCGGACGGGUGAGUAAUGCUUGGGAACUUGCCUUUAGGAGGGGGAUAACAGUUGGAAACGACUGCUAAUACCGCAUAAUGUCUACGGACCAAAGGGGGCUUUUAGCUCUCACCUAAAGAGAGGCCCAAGUGAGAUUAGCUAGUUGGUAAGGUAAAGGCUUACCAAGGCGACGAUCUCUAGCUGUUCUGAGAGGAAGAUCAGCCACACUGGGACUGAGACACGGCCCAG
rnacentral:rRNA from 1 species